UACGAAGGACCCGAGCGUUAUCCGGAUUUAUUGGGUUUAAAGGGUGCGUAGGCGGAACGAUAAGUCAGUGGUGAAAUCCUGUUGCUUAACAACGGAACUGCCAUUGAUACUGUCGAUCUUGAGUACAUAUGAUGUGGGCGGAAUGUGCCAUGUAGCGGUGAAAUGCUUAGAUAUGGCACAGAACACCGAUUGCGAAGGCAGCUCACAAAACUGUUACUGACGCUGAGGCACGAAAGCGUGGGGGUCAAACAGG
rnacentral:rRNA from 1 species